rnacentral:rRNA from 1 species
GAUCCUGGCUCAGAAUCAACGCUGGCGGCGUGCCUCAGACAUGCAAGUCGAACGCGAAAGUUCCCUUCGGGGGGCGAGUAGAGUGGCGCACGGGUGAGUAACACGUAGGUAAUCUACCUUUGGAUGGGGAAUAACAACCGGAAACGGUUGCUAAUACCGCAUAAUGCAGCGGCACCUAAUGGUGACAGUUGUUAAAGCGGGGGAUCGAAAGACCCCGCGUCUGAAGAGGAGCCUGCGGCGGAUUAGCUAGUUGGUAAGGUAACGGCUUACCAAGGCAGUGAUCCGUAGCCGGCCUGAGAGGGCGGUCGGCCACACUGACACUGACAUACGGGUCAGACUCCUACGGGAGGCAGCAGUCGGGAAUUUUGGGCAAUGGGCGAAAGCCUGACCCAGCAACGCCGCGUGAAGGAUGAAAUCCCUCGGGAUGUAAACUUCGCAAGAACAGGAAGAAUAAGGAAGGGUUAAUACCCCUUUCGAUGACGGUACUGUUUGUAAGCUCCGGCUAACUCCGUGCCAGCAGCCGCGGUAAUACGGGGGGAGCAAGCGUUGUUCGGAUUUACUGGGCGUAAAGGGCGCGUAGGCGGCCACCGCAAGUCAGUUGUGAAAUCUCUGGGCUUAACCCAGAAAGGUCAACUGAUACUGCGGGGCUAGAGUGCAGAAGGGGCAACUGGAAUUCUCGGUGUAGCGGUG